rnacentral:rRNA from 1 species
UUUGACAUGUACGGAAUUCGCCAGAGAUGGCUUAGUGCUCGAAAGAGAACCGUAACACAGGUGCUUGCAUGGCUGUCGUCAGCUCGUGUCGUGAGAUGUUGGGUUAAGUCCCGCAACGAGCGCAACCCUUGUCAUUAGUUGCUACAUUUAGUUGGGCACUCUAAUGAGACUGCCGGUGACAAACCGGAGGAAGGUGGGGAUGACGUCAAGUCCUCAUGGCCCUUAUAGGUGGGGCUACACACGUCAUACAAUGGCUGGUACAAAGGGUUGCCAACCCGCGAGGGGGAGCUAAUCCCAUAAAACCAGUCGUAGUCCGGAUCGCAGUCUGCAACUCGACUGCGUGAAGUCGGAAUCGCUAGUAAUCGUGGAUCAGAAUGUCACGGUGAAUACGUUCCCGGGUCUUGUACACACCGCCCGUCACACCAUGGGAGCGGGUUCUGCCAGAAGUAGUUAGCUUAACCGCAAGGAGGGCGAUUACCACGGCAGGGUUCGUGACUGGGGUG